AAUUUGGCAUACAUAUAAUAUAUAAAUGUGUAUGAUUGAUUGCGAACAAUCAGCUGUUACCUUGAAGUAGUCUAAUAUCUGGUUAAUUCGACUGCCAUUUUGAUAUUAAAUUUUACCGCGCGUAAAAUUCUGAUCUUUCCAUCGACUAUACUCGCGUAAAUUCAAGCAAACUUAUAAAGCACAUCAAACACAAUAACACAACAAAGCAAAUAGCAAGCCGUUAAAAGAGGGAGGCAUACAAAUAUUAUAUUUGCAACAGAGGAGAUAUGAAAACAUUUCACAACUGUUCAGAUACGAAAUACUAAACACGAUAAUCGAACAAAAAAUCAAACAAAACCAAAAAAAAAAACGCUAAGCGUCGAACAUAAAUACAGAAAUAUAAUAAGAAAAUAAUUGUUUCGCAAAAAUAUACAAACUUAAGCGCAAUAAAAUAAAAUAAAACAUACCAAAAUAAACGAAAGGAAAUACAACAAUAAAUAAAUAAAACCUACAGCAAACAUUAUUUGCCGCUCAGCAUUUUUUCGGACUUGCGCCUACACAUACAUACAUAAUAUAUGUAUAUGCAUCCGUCUGAAUUGAUUUGUAUCUGAACGCGUGCAUCUCGCCAGUUGAACGUAUCCGCACCAAGUCGCAUAUCAUCGUGAUAACUUCGUCCCCUCCUAACUUGCAAAGCACCCGUUGGCCUUGCUCCAUUGCACUCGCACACAACACACCUUUCACUUCGGUUAAAGACACAACAAACUUUCAAUCGAAUAUGAUGCAUCAAAUUUGCCUCAUGCAUCUGCCAUCUCAUUAAAAUAUGGAUUUAGCAGAUCAAAUCGAUGAUUAUAUUUGUUCAUUUGAAGGAAUUGGUGAUUUAACAAUGGACUCAUUAGCAAUGUUCAUAUUUAUUUGGGCCGUAUUGGCCCUCUUCAUAGUAUGGCUGUGUAAAUUUUUAUACAAUAAAUAUGUGGUAAAUAAUAAUAAAACGCCAACAAGUCAGAGUAACAGUCGGCAAAGCAGUGUGGUGCCCAGUGGGGCCAGCACAACGAAAACUGAAGCGAGCAAGCGACUAUCCGAACCGAGAGAAGUAAUGGCAAGCAAAGCAGAUUUUAAGGACUUAGCUGCUAAACCUACUGGUGCACGUGGUCGCACACCAGUUGGCGGUGCUGUAGGUGGUGUUGUGGGACCCCGACGACGCAUGGUGCGGCAGGGCUCAACCGGCCCAGAGAGCCGUAAAAAACGCUAUGUGCCGCCACCGUCCAAUGUUGUUGGACCUGAAACAAUUUCAGUUACUUGGACCAGUCAAGCGUUCCGUUGGCUUUACAGCGAUUUAGUGAUUGUCAAUGAACUUUUGACGUCUUGGGUUAUAGCCUUAAACGAUACGCUCAAAAAAUCCAUGGAAGGGCAUGGCGUCGCUGUGGAAGUGGUGCGCGUACUGCCCGAUAGUCCCCCGCCAAGCUUGAAUAAUAUUUUCUGUAACUGUGAUGAAAAUAAUCCAUCUGAUAUGCUGAUCACUUUCGAUUGCGAUGCACAACCAGUGUUGCAGGUAAAAACUUUCCGCCAGAAGGCCGGGAAAGCUGACGUCUCCCACUACAAAGUGACCGUUUCACGAUUCCGUGCUCGCAUGGCCACCGCCAUGAACUACAACAACCUCAAGGGCGAGAUGAAAGUGGAUGGUUAUCCAGAUAUACGCGUCGCCAUGAACAGCGUGGGCGCCAUAAAGCCGUUGGACCAGGAUGAACAACAACUACAAGGAGUAAUUAGCGAUAUUAUCAUCGGCGCUCUACGCGACACCGUGUAUCCAGUGGACUUCUCAAUUUAUGCGACCUGUCCACGCGCCGAAAUCGAUCCAUUAGAUAUGCCUCAAAACAUGGAGGGCUCGAAUUUAUCAGGGCUACAACCAAUGAUCUCCGGACGUCGCUUGCUUGUAAAAAUUGUAAAAGGUGAGGGUCUCCUCGAUGCUAAAGACCCUUAUGUGGUAGUGGAGAUGGACGAACCUGCCCAAAAGAAUCAAACAGGCGCACGCCAGGGUGCCACGCCUUAUUGGGAUGAACAUUUUCUAUUCGAACUGUCCCCACAAUCUGCUGAGAUCCUGUUCGAAGUCUACGAUCGUCCUGUCAAUGCUGCAGAUCCGGCAAAAUUCCUCGGCUUGGGUUUGGUGGGCAUUGAUGAGUUGGCCGUUGGGCCUGCAUCCACACAAGUGCUGACACUGCAGCCACGUCCCUAUGAGACGCAUCCGGUGAGCGGCACCAUCACUGUGGACUUUGUGUUCAUUGAUGGUGCGGAAAUACCUGCUGGACCCAAGCCGUAUAAGCUGAAAGAGGCGUUGAAGAUCAGCACGCCUAUGAUUAACGAACACAUGAAAAAUGGCGCCGACUUGGCAAAUGCAGCCGUACGCGCUUUGCAGGAUGGCGCGCUCUCCACGACGGGGCAGCCCAGCAAGAGUACUUUGAUCAUACACAGCGUUCAGCGAAACCAAAACAAUUCAAAUGCAUUUAAGGUUGAAGUUAACAAAGAGGGCAGAAUAGAAGUUAAAGAAUCGCCGCAAGAUGAACGGGAUGCUGCUGUAACCCAAGGUUUAGAAAACCCAUUAAACGACAAUACAAGCGAAUCGCUGCCAACCGCGACUACCACCGCGGACAUAGAGCACAUCCAGCAGGAUAUAUCGAUGACGACAGACAUAACUGCAAGUCCCUCAGACUCGUAUCCAGCAAAUGAUGGCUACUUAGAUGAGUCGGGGGUGGCAUCAGGUAACAGCAGUGCCAUGCCAUCCAGCGCGGAGUUUGGACAUCCGAAUGCUGCCUCCUCCCCACAAGGCCACAAUGGCUAUUCACCACUAAAUGGCAACUCGGCUGCAAACGGCUCCCAAAGUUAUGGAUAUCAAAACAAUAGUUUGCCCCGUAAUGGCGGUGCCACCAGCACACCUUUAAGCAGUGCUGAUCUGGAUGAACGAGGCCGGAGUAAGAAACGAAAUUUCUUUGGAACAUUAAAAAAACGUUUAAGCCGAUCCAAGACACGCACCCAUUCGGCUGAUCGUGGCGCUUUGACGCCGUCCCAAAAUAAUAACGGUACUACCCCAACAGGAACACUUAACGGUGAUUCACGUUCAUUAUCUGUCGAUCGUGCUGUAAUGUCUAAAAGCAAUUCACUUGGCCCACGCGUUGGCUCCUCACGACUUGAUCACUCAAGGCAAUCUUCAAUUUCAGAAUCGUCCGCAAUCUCAGGUUUCUCAUCGGCCAGCAACAAAACGUACGUACACGAAGCGUCCACACUGGUCCUGGAGACGAUCGAGAAUGGCGUGAAGCGACAUUUUAUUGUUCCGCUAGCAAUCGCACAACGGCCCAGGUGGCGCCGCAAAGGCACAAAGCUACACAUUUAUAACGACCAUACCUUCAUCGCCAAACACUUGAGCGGUGGCGGCCUGCAAUGCCAGGUUUGCAUGAAGUCUAUCCCGCGACGACCGGGCAAACAGGGCUACGAAUGCCGGGACUGCAAUUUGAUCUGUCACAAACAGUGCCACAUACGGGCGCCACAGGCGUGUCCCAAUCCCACAGUGCUUUCAAUGGAAUUGACCUCAUUUCCGGUACUCACAGAACAAGAUAUAAUUUAGUCAACCUUCUAAUUGAUUUUCAAAACACAUACCAACUUUAAUUGUCGUGAAAUCCACACUUUUUCAUUUAAAUAUAAUUAGAUUAAUUACCUUUAUUUACAUGCGAAGUUUUUGUUAAAUUUUUAUUUAAUUAAUUUAAUAUUUAAUAAACGGUUUACUCUCCCACAAAUUACGUAUAAAUAGAAAAAAAAUAACUGGAAUUUCGUAAACUCGCGCAUCUUAAAUGAUAAAUUUUCAAGCUUUUUAUGGCAUUUACGAAAUUGUUUUGAACGCUUUGCACACAACACCGCUGUUUCCAUUCUGUUUGUGAAUACCGCACCCUCAUUAAUUGCUCCUCUGGCGCGUUUCCUUUUACAGAUUUUUCUACUAACACUUUUGCCUUCUAAUUUUUUCUAAGCUGAAAAAUUGUAGCCUAACUCAAUAUAAAAAAAAUGAAAUUAAGUUCACUUAAAGGGUUAAUUUUUCAGAGUUGGUUUGACUGUGAAAAUUUUCAAACAAUAUUGCAGUAUUGGAAUUUUCACCUUUUUAUUUAUAGCUGGAAACAAUUGUUAAAAAUGCACUGGAAAAUUUGUCUUAGCACCAAUUGCCGUUUUCGGACUUACCGGUUUACUUCUUUCUGCUUUCUCAAUGUUGCGCAAUGCUUUAAUAUUUAUGUAGCUGUGCAUUGCCACAACUUUAAGUUUGUUUCUUACAUGCGGUUUCACAUACACACAUACAUACAUACAUAUGACAUAUCAUCUAACUGCAUUUGUAAAUCCAACUAAUCUACACUUUUACUAUACCCUCUACCUCGCAACACAGGAUGAUGACUUUUAAUAAAAGAGAAAUUAUUAAGACCGGCAAUUUUCCCACGCUUCAGUAAAAUACAACCAUGAAAAAGUUUAAAACAAUUUUGUAAUUUUUCAAUGUUGAAAGCUUUUAUUUUCGUGCAAUAAGAACUAAACUAUGUACUUGUAUGUAUUUAUACUCAAAUCAUAAAAAAAACUUUAAACAAAAACAUAAUAUUUGAAAAUCAAGCAGUUUCCAAUACAAAGAAGUCAGUACGGUACAACUUCGGUAUCUUAUUUACCGGAUCGAAACUUAACUCUGCCGCUGCUGAUCGCAGUAUAAGAAAAUUAUGAAUAUAUUGGUAACGGAAACGAACACAACCACAAAUGCAUAAUCCGCCAGAGCAACCACCGCUACUGCCAGCAAAAAAGUAAUGCCGGAAAUAAAGGAUGCAAUCCUGAUUUAUUCGAACGAAAGUAAAAAAGUUCUGAGCAUAGCUUACUGUGGCUAAGCUUUUCGGUUUUCUGUUAUUUAUUAUAUGUUUUUUUUUUUAUUAUUUAAGUGAUUUUUAAAUACUCGCACACGAAUCAGCAACUCGAAAUUUAAGAAAUGCGAAGGAAAAACUUUUUUGACACAAAUUGUAAAAGAAAUUAUAAAGAGGCCGAAUACUGUACCGAAUAGUGCACUUUUAUUUUUAUAAAAAAAAAAAAAUAAUUCCUAUUAAGUAUAUCCUUUGGAUAAAUUUGUUUAAUAUUUUCGAAAUAUUGUAUUAAUUCCCCGUGUUUACUUUAAAGUUUCCCCUUAUAUAAAGUUGUACAAGUUUUAUAUUUUAUUAACACGCUACUCAAUCUCAGUCUUCGCUACACAAAAAAACAAAAAAAAAGAUUAACUUCCCAGAAAAGGAUUUAAACACAAUCAGGAAACAUAAAAACCAGUGCAAUCUUUACUAUCAUUUUUGUUAAAUACAUAUAUAUGUAUAUAUGUCAAGUUUACCAAGUAUAAGUUUUGUAAUUCUGAAAAAAUAAAUAUGAAGCACAUAUGAGCUAAGAAAAAGUUAAACCACAAUCGUACACAUUACACAGUAGUACACAAUCACAGUACGAAAACGCAAAUAAAUGUUCAAAAUCAGUAAUGAAACUAAGCGAAUCUUAGAACAAAUCAAUAAAAAUGGUGGAGUUUUAAGUAGAACUACGAUAAAAA